UGAGGUUCGUGUGCAAAGUUAGUUUAUAAACUCGGGUCAAAACCGACAAUUUUAUAGAUUCUGUUGUUGAAACAAUUUGGAGUUAAUUCCUGGAACGUGAAUUAUACAUUUCCUACAGCGAUGUCUGAUAAAGCUACAUGUUGUGAAGGUGAGACUGAUUGUUGUGCAGAUAAAGAUUGCUGUACAACAGAAACAGAUUGUUGUAAAACUGGUACCACGUCUACAUGUUGUACUACUAUGUCCGAUUCCUGUAAAUGUACAAAAGACAACUGUACCUGUGGAUCGGGAUGCACUGGUACGUCCAACUGUAAAUGUGGCCACGGCUGUGCCUGUAAAUAAUUCCGGAGGAUAUAUUUGUUUUAUUUACAUUAUUUAUGUAUUAUAGUCUAUGAUACAAUCGUGUCCUACGAUAAAUUAACAGAACACAGUUUUUAUGUGAAACAAUCACUGGUUUAUUCUAAAAGCACGACGUUUCGACAAGUAUCCUCUUAUCGUUAUCAAGCACAAUGACAUUUAGUAAACUUAGGAUGAAUAUAUAGGAGUUGCAUGGUAUAACAUAGUUUGAGUUAAUAGAAAUAAAAUGUUGCAUCCAGAUCAUGUUUUAUUUCUAUUAACUCAAACUAUGUUAUAAUCAUAAUUUGGGGACCGUGUCCAGCGAACAACUGUGGUUGUAUGAAAGAUACAGAAUAGAGUAGUGGCAGCCGAAUUCUCUCCAGUUUGAACCAAGUACAGAACCAGUCAAAGUCAGAAAGGUACGUUAGCUUUGUUAUUUGUUAUUUUUCGUAAAAAUGGCUGAACAAGGAGAUGUUUCUGCGCUAUUUCAAGGUUUAACUGGGGAGUUAAAAGGCUUGUCAACUACUUUAAAACACCAUGGCGUUUCUCAGUUAGUCGAAACAUAUUCAGGGGAAAGACAAAAUUUUGAAACUUGGAUAAA